GAUGAACGCUGGCGGCGUGCCUAAUACAUGCAAGUCGAGCGAACGGACGAGAAGCUUGCUUUUCUGAUGUUAGCGGCGGACGGGUGAGUAACACGUGGAUAACCUACCUAUAAGACUGGGAUAACUUCGGGAAACCGGAGCUAAUACCGGAUAAUAUUUUGAACCGCAUGGUUCAAAAGUGAAAGACGGUCUUGCUGUCACUUAUAGAUGGAUCCGCGCUGCAUUAGCUAGUUGGUAAGGUAACGGCUUACCAAGGCAACGAUGCAUAGCCGACCUGAGAGGGUGAUCGGCCACACUGGAACUGAGACACGGUCCAGACUCCUACGGGAGGCAGCAGUAGGGAAUCUUCCGCAAUGGGCGAAAGCCUGACGGAGCAACGCCGCGUGAGUGAUGAAGGUCUUCGGAUCGUAAAACUCUGUUAUUAGGGAAGAACAUAUGUGUAAGUAACUGUGCACAUCUUGACGGUACCUAAUCAGAAAGCCACGGCUAACUACGUGCCAGCAGCCGCGGUAAUACGUAGGUGGCAAGCGUUAUCCGGAAUUAUUGGGCGUAAAGCGCGCGUAGGCGGUUUUUUAAGUCUGAUGUGAAAGCCCACGGCUCAACCGUGGAGGGUCAUUGGAAACUGGAAAACUUGAGUGCAGAAGAGGAAAGUGGAAUUCCAUGUGUAGCGGUGAAAUGCGCAGAGAUGUGGAGGAACACCAGUGGCGAAGGCGACUUUCUGGUCUGUAACUGACGCUGAUGUGCGAAAGCGUGGGGAUCAAACAGGAUUAGAUACCCUGGUAGUCCACGCCGUAAACGAUGAGUGCUAAGUGUUAGGGGGUUUCCGCCCCUUAGUGCUGCAGCUAACGCAUUAAGCACUCCGCCUGGGGAGUACGACCGCAAGGUUGAAACUCAAAGGAAUUGACGGGGGCCCGCACAAGCGGUGGAGCAUGUGGUUUAAUUCGAAGCAACGCGAAGAACCUUACCAAAUCUUGACAUCCUUUGACAACUCUAGAGAUAGAGCCUUCCCCUUCGGGGGACAAAGUGACAGGUGGUGCAUGGUUGUCGUCAGCUCGUGUCGUGAGAUGUUGGGUUAAGUCCCGCAACGAGCGCAACCCUUAAGCUUAGUUGCCAUCAUUAAGUUGGGCACUCUAAGUUGACUGCCGGUGACAAACCGGAGGAAGGUGGGGAUGACGUCAAAUCAUCAUGCCCCUUAUGAUUUGGGCUACACACGUGCUACAAUGGACAAUACAAAGGGCAGCGAAACCGCGAGGUCAAGCAAAUCCCAUAAAGUUGUUCUCAGUUCGGAUUGUAGUCUGCAACUCGACUACAUGAAGCUGGAAUCGCUAGUAAUCGUGGAUCAGCAUGCUACGGUGAAUACGUUCCCGGGUCU
rnacentral:rRNA from 1 species